rnacentral:rRNA from 1 species
CCCUUAGAUGUUCUGGGCCGCACGCGUGCUACACUGAACGGUUCAAUGGGUAAGGUAGUGCGAAAGCAUGACCUAAUCUCGAAAUCCGUUCGUGCUGGGGAUAGAAGCUUGCAAUUAUCCUUCUUGAACGAGGAAUACCUUGUAAGCGUGAGUCAUCAUCUCACGCUGAAUACGUCCCUGCCCUUUGUACACACCGCCCGUCGCUCCUACCGAUUGAGUGUUCCGGUGGGGCUUUGGGAGAAUGGCCUCAACAUGAGUUUAUCGUGUUUUGCCGUUUGAACUUAGUCAAACCUUAUCACUUAGAGGAAGGAGAAGUCGUAACA